UACGUAGGGGGCGAGCGUUAUCCGGAUUCACUGGGUGUAAAGGGAGCGUAGACGGCCAAGCAAGCCAGGGGUGAAAGCCCGGGGCCCAACCCCGGGACUGCCCUUGGAACUGCAUGGCUGGAGUGCGGGAGGGGCAGGCGGAAUUCCUGGUGUAGCGGUGAAAUGCGUAGAUAUCAGGAGGAACACCGGCGGCGAAGGCGGCCUGCUGGGCUGCGACUGACGUUGAGGCUCGAAAGCGUGGGGAGCGAACAGG
rnacentral:rRNA from 1 species